rnacentral:rRNA from 1 species
UGUGUUAUAGCCGUCUUGGUCGUACACGGUGUCUGGGAUCGAGGACUGCAGCACGGCCUUUGGCGGGGUUCGCCCACGCCACGUGCUUAGGAUGCUGGCAUAAUGGCUUUAAACGACCCGUCUUGAAACACGGACCAAGGAGUCUAACAUAUAUGCGAGUGUUUAACACUCGCAUAUAUGCUAGAGGGGCG